CGUGUAGGCGGUCUGUUAAGUCUGAUGUGAAAGCCCUGGGCUCAACCCAGGAAGUGCAUUGGAAACUGGCAGACUUGAGUACGGGAGAGGAAAGUGGAAUUCCGAGUGUAGGGGUGAAAUCCGUAGAUAUUCGGAGGAACACCAGUGGCGAAGGCGGCUUUCUGGACCGAUACUGACGCUGAGACGCGAAAGCGUGGGGAGCAAACA
rnacentral:rRNA from 1 species